GACGAACGCUGGCGGCGUGCCUAAUACAUGCAAGUUGAGCGAUGGAGCUUGGUGCUUGCACCAAUUUGAAGAGCAGCGGACGGGUGAGUAACGCGUGGGGAAUCUGCCUUUGAGCGGGGGACAACAUCUGGAAACGAAUGCUAAUACCGCAUAACAACUUUAAACAUAAGUUUUAAGUUUGAAAGAUGCAAUUGCAUCACUCAAUGAUGAUCCCGGGUUGUAUUAGCUAGGUGGUGAGGUAAAGGCCUAACAAGGCGAUGAUACAUAGCCGAACUGGGAGGGUGAUUGGCCAAAAUUGGAACGGGAACACGCCCAAAACUCUACGGGGGGGCGCAGGAGGGAAUCCUUGGCAAAUGACGAAAGGCUGACCGAGGAACGCCGCGUGAGUGAAGAAGGUUUUCGGAUCGGAAAACUCGGGUGGUAGAGAAGAAAGUUGGUGAGAGUGGAAAGCUCAUCAAGUGACGGUAACUACACAGAAAGGGACGGCUAACUACGUG
rnacentral:rRNA from 1 species